rnacentral:rRNA from 1 species
AGUGAACGCUGGCGGCGUGCUUAACACAUGCAAGUCGAACGAGAACGGGUUAUAGCUUGCUAUAAUUGUCAGCUAAGUGGCGCACGGGUGAGUAAUGUAUAGGUAAUAUGCCUCUUACUAAGGGAUAACAAAUGGAAACGUUUGCUAAUACCUUAUACUCCUUAUUAACAUAAGUUAAUAAGGGAAAGAUUUAUUGGUAAGAGAUUAGCCUGUAUUGUAUCAGUUAGUUGGUGGGGUAAUGGCUUACCAAGACUAUGACACAUAACUGGUUUGAAAGGAUGAUCAGUCACACUGGAACGGAGACACGGUCCAGACUCCUACGGGAGGCAGCAGUGGGGAAUAUUGCACAAUGGACGAAAGUCUGAUGCAGCAACGCCGCGUGGAGGAUGACACAUUUCGGUGCGUAAACUCCUUUUAUAUGAGAAGAUAAUGACGGUAUUAUAUGAAUAAGCACCGGCUAACUCCGUGCCAGCAGCCGCCGUAA